rnacentral:rRNA from 1 species
UACGUAGGGGGCGAGCGUUGUCCGGAAUUAUUGGGCGUAAAGAGCUCGUAGGCGGUGUGUCACGUCGGCCGUGAAAACCUGCAGCUUAACUGUGGGCGUGCGGUCGAUACGGGCAUCACUGGAGUUCGGCAGGGGAGACUGGAAUUCCUGGUGUAGCGGUGAAAUGCGCAGAUAUCAGGAGGAACACCGGUGGCGAAGGCGGGUCUCUGGGCCGAUACUGACGCUGAGGAGCGAAAGCAUGGGGAGCGAACAGG